CAGUCGCCGCGGUAAGACAGAGGAUGCAAGCGUUAUCUGGAAUGAUUGGGCGUAAAGCGACUGUAGGUGGCUUUUCAAGUCUGCAGUCAAAUCCCAAGGCUCAACCCUGGACAGGCGGCGGAAACUACCAAGAUGGAGUACGGUAGGGGCAGAGGGGAUUUCCGGUGGAGCGAUGAAAUGCGUUGAGAUCGGAAAGAACACCAACGGUGAAAGCACUCUGCUGGGCCGACACUGACACUGAGAGACGAAAGUUAGGGGAGAAAAUGGGAUUAGAUACCCCCGUAGUCCCUGUCUCUUAUAA
rnacentral:rRNA from 1 species